UACGGGGGGGCGAGCGUUAUUCGGAAUCAUUGGGCGUAAAGGGCGCGUAGGCGGCCCCGUAAGUCUUGGGUGAAAGCCCUCGGCUCAACCGAGGAAUUGCCUUGGAUACUGCGGGGCUCGAGGCUGGAAGAGGGUAGCGGAAUUCCCGGUGUAGCGGUGAAAUGCGUAGAUAUCAGGAGGAAUACCGGUGGCGAAAGCGACUCUCUGGACGGCAACUGACGCUGAGGCACGAAAGCGUGGGGAGCAAACAGG
rnacentral:rRNA from 1 species